UCCCUGGUAGUAUAUCGGUUAGUACACGCGCCUGUCAUUACGUAAUUACGAUCGCGCGAAAGCGGGGUUCGACUCCCCGCCAGGGAG